ensembl:lncRNA
ACACCUGGAGUAUAUAAAGGAGAUUGUGGCGUGUCACCUCAUCAUCUGUUUAAAUCAUCACCUGCACUGCAACUCAUCCUCCCUGAUCAACACAGAACAACUAUGGCAGCAGCAGCCUUAUCAAGAAGCAAAGGACGCCUGUUCUUCCUCCUCAGUCUGCUGUGUCUGGUUGGCCUCGCAAGUUUACGCAAAGACGACAUGAACCUGGUGAGCAAACUGCUGCUUAACUUCCCUUUGCUGUGAAAACAUAUUCUGCAGUUAUUUUGAGUCAACACAAGCAAACCUACUGUUGAAUUGUUCUUACUUUUUUACAUCUGUACUCGCAGAUAUGCUGGAGUUGUCAUGUUUAGACCCUUAUUUCCACCAAAUAACGACAUGUUGAUUCUCACACUCGAUUUGCAGGACAAUUCCAAAGUACUAAUUCAGAAAACGGAAGAAAAGCUAAACCAGUUGAAGGACAAUUUCAAAGCACAAAUUCAGAAAGCGGAAGAAAACCUAAACCAGUUGAAGGCACAAAAGGACUUCUUAUCAACGCUCAUGAGUGAAACAAAGACCUUUACUGAACAGAGGAUGGCCGCUUUGGAGAAGUUUUUGUCAGAAGAAUCUGCUGACGAUGAUCUACCACUGAAAAACCUUUUUCAGAGCUUAUUGCAUUUAUCUGACUCAGCCAAGGCUUUUUUCGACAAGGAGAAUGAGGUGUCUGAUGCAGAAAUAACCAACAUGAAGCUAGAUCUGGAAAAGACUAAGCGACUUGUCCAAGCCCUUGAGGAGUACCACUCUGAAUUGUAAUGUUUAAGUCAGUCAAUGUCUCUCUUGCAUCUCUGAUAAUGAAUAUGCUGUAGUCUUUGGUCUUUCUUUUCUAUUGUGUUUCUUUGCACUGGUGUUUAAAUCAUGAAUUCCUUUUUCCUUCUUUAUCAUACAAUUUGUGAAGCAGAGAGAAUGUUGAUAAUAAAUCAACAUAAACACUGACAUGACAACAAUUAACCCAAAUGAUUUGUUUUGGUUUUUCUUUCAUUUGAAUUCUUGAGCAAUACUUCAAUACUCAAUCAUUUGACAUAGGCUGCAAACUUUAAAAAUGUUGAUUAUUAUUUAAUAAAUGUUCUGCCUAUUGAUUUUACAUCGCUGUAGAGUUAUAUGUUUUUAUAUACUACAUGCCUUCCUCAGAAAGAACGGCACACACCUGCUAGCCAAACACACAAACAGAAAAAAAGAAAUUAAAGAACAACGUCAGGGAAAGCAGCAUAUUCACAAACAUAAGGGCCAAUAAACCAAACCAUAACCGUUAUACUGUUGGUCUUGUGUAGCCAAAUGUCCGACGUGCACAGUAACAUGGAAACCUAAAGGUUCGCAAUUUCAAACCUAAAUUCAUGAAU